GACGAGCGCUGGCGGCGUGCUUAACACAUGCAAGUCGAACGGAAAGGCCCUGCUUUUGUGGGGUGCUCGAGUGGCGAACGGGUGAGUAACACGUGAGUAACCUGCCCUUGACUUUGGGAUAACUUCAGGAAACUUGGGCUAAUACCGGAUAGGAGCUCCUGCUGCAUGGUGGGGGUUGGAAAGUUUCGGCGGUUGGGGAUGGACUCGCGGCUUAUCAGCUUGUUGGUGGGGUAGUGGCUUACCAAGGCUUUGACGGGUAGCCGGCCUGAGAGGGUGACCGGCCACAUUGGGACUGGGAUACGGCCCAGACUCCUACGGGAGGCAGCAGUGGGGAAUAUUGCACAAUGGGCGGAAGCCUGAUGCAGCAACGCCGCGUGCGGGAUGACGGCCUUCGGGUUGUAAACCGCUUUCGCCUGUGACGAAGCGUGAGUGACGGUAAUGGGUAAAGAAGCACCGGCUAACUACGUG
rnacentral:rRNA from 1 species